rnacentral:rRNA from 1 species
AGAGUUUGAUCCUGGCUCAGAUUGAACGCUGGCGGCAUGCUUUACACAUGCAAGUCGAACGGUAACGCGGGGGCAACCCUGGCGACGAGUGGCGAACGGGUGAGUAAUACAUCGGAACGUGUCCUGAGGUGGGGGAUAACCUAUCGAAAGGUAGGCUAAUACCGCAUACGCUCGGGAGAGGAAAGCGGGGGAUCGGUAACGACCUCGCGUCGCAGGAGCGGCCGAUGUCCGAUUAGCUAGUUGGUGGGGUAAAGGCUUACCAAGGCGACGAUCGGUAGCUGGUCUGAGAGGAUGAUCAGCCACACUGGGACUGAGACACGGCCCAGACUCCUACGGGAGGCAGCAGUGGGGAAUUUUGGACAAUGGGGGCAACCCUGAUCCAGCCAUGCCGCGUGAGUGAAGAAGGCCUUCGGGUUGUAAAGCUCUUUCGGUGGGAACGAAACGGUUACCACUAACACUGGUGACUACUGACGGUACUCACAGAAGAAGCACCGGCUAACUACGUGCCAGCAGCCGCGGUAAUACGUAGGGUGCGAGCGUUAAUCGGAAUUACUGGGCGUAAAGCGUGCGCAGGCGGUGGCUCAAGCCAGGCGUGAAAUCCCCGGGCUUAACCUGGGAAUGGCGUUUGGGACUGGGUCGCUAGAGUGUGGCAGAGGGAGGUGGAAUUCCACGUGUAGCAGUGAAAUGCGUAGAGAUGUGGAGGAACACCGAUGGCGAAGGCAGCCUCCUGGGCCAGCACUGACGCUCAUGCACGAAAGCGUGGGGAGCAAACAGGAUUAGAUACCCUAGUAGUCC